rnacentral:rRNA from 1 species
GAUGAACGCUGGCGGCGUGCCUAAUACAUGCAAGUCGAGCGAACAGACGAGGAGCUUGCUCCUCUGACGUUAGCGGCGGACGGGUGAGUAACACGUGGAUAACCUACCUAUAAGACUGGGAUAACUUCGGGAAACCGGAGCUAAUACCGGAUAAUAUAUUGAACCGCAUGGUUCAAUAGUGAAAGACGGUUUUGCUGUCACUUAUAGAUGGAUCCGCGCCGCAUUAGCUAGUUGGUAAGGUAACGGCUUACCAAGGCAACGAUGCGUAGCCGGCCUGAGAGGGUGAUCGGCCACACUGGAACUGAGACACGGUCCAGACUCCUACGAGAGGCAGCAGUAGGGAAUCUUCCGCAAUGGGCGAAAGCCUGACGGAGCAACGCCGCGUGAGUGAUGAAGGUCUUCGGAUCGUAAAACUCUGUUAUUAGGGAAGAACAAAUGUGUAAGUAACUAUGCACGUCUUGACGGUACCUAAUCAGAAAGCCACGGCUAACUACGUG